rnacentral:rRNA from 1 species
AUACGGAGGGGGCUAGCGUUGUUCGGAAUUACUGGGCGUAAAGCGCGUGUAGGCGGAUCGUUAAGUCAGGGGUGAAAGCCCGGAGCUCAACUCCGGAAUUGCCCUUGAUACUGGCGGUCUAGAGGCCGGGAGAGGUGAGCGGAAUUCCCAGUGUAGAGGUGAAAUUCGUAGAUAUUGGGAGGAACACCAGUGGCGAAGGCGGCUCACUGGCCCGGUUCUGACGCUGAGACGCGAAAGCGUGGGGAGCAAACAGGAUUAGAAACCCUAGUAGUCC